CCUGUCCCGCCCCCGCUGCCCUCGGCCCGCCCCGCCGCCCAGUGCGCCACCGAGAGCCCCGGGCAGGGGGCCGCCCUGUGCCCUGCAGGGCCGCGGGGCCGCGUAGCUCUCUCGGUGCGGCGGGCCUGAGUCCUGCUGCCCCUCCAGAUCCCAGUCCAGCUAUAGCCCCCACCAUGGCUGAGGGAGGGGUACCCUCGCCAGGGCCUGGUGCCUACUUCAGCAGGAAAGCCCGACUCUCCUUCCGCCACCAGCUGCAUGACAUAGCAUCGGCCAAUGACUCCACCAUUUGAAGGGGACGACGAGGAGGUGAACCUCCAGGAAGGCUUAGCAAGCUUCCUUCCCCAGAUUUCUCAGCGAUCCUAAUGUCCACCUCCCCAAGUCCUUUCUAACCUUCUCAUCAAAUGUGUUCAUAGUUGCUAAGUGCUGUGUGUGUGUGUGCUGGGGGUGUAGAUGGGGCCAAGGCUGCAGGGCUGGGUUAUGGGGCUGAGAUGGGAAGUGUUGUCUACGGUGGGAGUGAGACACACGAAUGAUGAAUAUGAGGCAGCUGACCUAACGCAGAGCCCAGGUGUGACAAGCGGGAAAGUAAGAAUUGGCUGACGUCAAGCUUCGGGGUUGAGUGUGGUGAAGGCAGGCUGGGGUGGCUGGGGGCAGGGCAGGAUAGCAGAUGGGAUGAGAAAGCAUAUUCAUUCAGUAAAUGCCGAGUGUCCACCCCUGCCAGGCGUGGAGGAUGUAUCAAUGAACCAGGAAGGAACAAUUCUCUCUUCUCACUGAACUGACUUGCUAGUAGAGGGAGGGAGACAAUCAUACACAGGUAACAGCUAAGCAGAACCCAAGAUGGUGAUGUGUGCUGCUUUGAAGAAAAUGAAACAGGGUCAUGUGAGAGUGGGAUUAGGGGGUGGUGAUUCUUCAGUUUCAGGUGGUUGGGAAAGGCCUUUCUGAUGAGGUGACAUUUGAGCUGAGAGCUGAAUGAUGAGCAGCCAUGUGGAAAUCUGGGAGUGAUGUGUCAGUGCAGG
rnacentral:lncRNA from 10 species